GGUGCGCGCUCCUCGCUUUCGCGGCUGGGCGCCUCGCGCCUGUCCCGCCCGACUCGUGCCUCUUCUGAGCCGCAGCCCCAGCCCCAGCCCCAAUCUCAAUCUCUCCGGCCGGCAGAGGUUGGAAGACAGGAAGCCGAUUAGAAAGGAAGGUGAAGGAAACAAGAGUCAGACAGCGGAAAGUGGGAGCAAAGGGAGAAGCAGCUGUUUCAACCCGUUACUACACUUCAAUCCUCCCACUCCAACCUCUUCAUCUUUUAAUCAUUUCAGAAAAUGAAGCUUCCUACUUCACGACAAAAAAAACGACUUUCAGAAGUACCAAUCUGCAACAGCUUGAAAAUUUGAAAACCUGAUCCUUCACCACAGGUGCUUUUGCUUGCAAGGUCAAAAUCAGAAGUUCAGGAAGAUCACCUGAAUCCAGAGCUUUUGAUUUCAGAAGCCUAGGUUCAUUGAGGAAAAGUAUGCUGACUUGUCCCAGAGGGUUAACAAGUGAAUGCUUUUGAGUAGAGGUGGGAGAAGCUGUCUGACAUAGAAGUUGAGCUUCUCCGGGACAAGAGAGGAGACGGGAGUAAUGGUAGAUUCCAUGAGCAUCAAGGACUACUUUUGCUGCCUUUUAGUGUGCUAAAGAAGAUACAAGAUCUCAAGAGAGAAUGGAGACAUGGUACACUUAAGAAAGUCUGAAUACUAGUCCGUGAGGAUGCCAGCUUCAGCCAAAACACCCUGCUAUCACCACCAAUGUGCAAGAGUGGCACAGAAGCAGCUACCCCGUCUAACUUUAAGGGGAUUUGCCUGACAAACAUAUCAACAAUGUUGGGUAUGCACAAAAGGGCAUAGGACCUACACUGAAAGUUGUGUUCUGGGUAUCAUUUGCUAGGGUCUUCAUACAACCUUGACAGAAGGAGGUAAAAACCAUGAGGGAGAUUGAAUUUUUAGCCAGCUGGAAAGGUGAAAGGCUCAGAGCAGAUUGAAUUUUGUUGUAGGGAUAUAAAGAAAUGUGACAUUUUUUGCCAGUUGUUAGAAUGGCGAUCAUUAAAAAGUCAGGAAACAACAGAUGCUGGAGAGGAUGUGGAGAAAUAGGGACGCUUUUAUGCUGUUGGUGGGAGUGUAAAUUAGUUCAACCAUUGUGGAAGACAGUGUGGCGAUUCCUGAAGGAUCUAGAACUAGAAAUACCAUUUGACCCAGCAAUCCCAUUACUGGGUAUAUACCCAAGGAUUAUAAAUCUAUAAAGACACAUGCACACGUAUGUUUGUUGCAGCACUGUUCACAAUAGCAAAGACUUAGAACCAACCCAAAUGCCCAUCAAUGAUAGACUGGAUAAAGAAAAUGUGGCACAUAUACACCAUGGAAUACUAUGCAGCCAUAAAAAAGGAUGAGUUCAUGUCCUUUGCAGGGACAUGGAUGAAGCUGGAAAUCAUCAUUCUCAGCAAACUAUCACAAGAACAGAAAAGGAAGCACUACAUGUUCUCACUCAUAAGUGGGAGUUGAACAAUGAGAACACAUGGACAUGGGGGUGCAGGGCUCAUCACACACCAGGGCCUGUCAGGGGGUGGGGGUCUGGGGGAGGGAUAGCAUUAGGAGAAAUACCUAAUGUAGGUGAUGGGUUUAUGGGUGCAGCAAACCACCAUGGCACGUGUCUACCUGUGUAACAAACCUGCACGUUCUGCACAUGUACCCCAGAACUUAAAAUAAAAUAAAAUAAAAUAAAAUCAGAUGGUUUGCUUUUGUUGUUGUCUGGUAGGAGUUCCUUAUAUAUUAUGAAUAUCAAUUCCUUAUCAGAUAUAAUAUUUAAAAAUGUUUCUUUUUAUUUCAUGGAUUGCCUUAUCACUCUGUUGGUAUUCUUUGAUAUACAAGAGUUUUGAAUUUUCAUAAUGUC
rnacentral:lncRNA from 1 species